rnacentral:misc_RNA from 1 species
AACAUCGCGCACCUGCGGGAACCUGCGGAAGGAUCAUUACAGAGUUGCAAGACUCCCUAAACCAUUGUGAACCUACCUUCUACCGUUGCUUCGGCGGGCGGGCCCAGCGCCCCCCCCGGCCCCCCGCGGGCGCCCGCCGGAGGAUACCCAAACUCUUGACAUUAGUGGCCUCUCUGAGUAUUCUUUACUGAAUAAGUCAAAACUUUUAACAAUGGAUCU